rnacentral:lncRNA from 1 species
AUCGGCUACCUCCGGAGCCAAGGCUCCCUCUCACACUCCCCCCAAUCCCACCAGCGGCAAAAUCCUUUAAAAGGAACAAAGGCAAUGGGGGCGGGGAGGGGGCUUCCUCUUUGGUCGACCUAGGGCGGCGGCUGACGCAGCCCGCCGCCGGUCAGCUUUCAGCCCCCCAGCCCCGGGGCCGGCGUGCCCGGCCCACCCCGCCCUCCGCGCCCCCCGACGGCCGCGGUCAGCCGGCAUUCCGGAGCAGCGCGUCGGAGCUGCAACUUCGCGCCUAAGCGCCCGCACCUCGCAGCCCGGCGGGCGGGAGACAAAAGCUGCGGCGCCGCCGCCGGAGGCCGCGCGGCCAAGGAAUUAAUGGAGAAUUCAGAGAAAUCAGAGCUUCUACCCCACCACCCUCUGUCAUUGCACUGCCCUGGCACAUGGGCACAACGUCUUCUGAGAAGGGACACAAACUGCUCAGACAUGCGGCAUCCUCCCUGUAGUCCUCCUUUCCUGGCCAGUUGGAGAACGAUCUCUGCCUUUCAGUUCUGAACAGCUUCCAGCAUGCCCCAUAGGGAACAUUUUGGAUUUGAAUGAAGAGCAUAAAAAUGUGGUCAGCAUAUUGGCCUUGGUAUUUGAUUUUCUUUUUUCCAUGCAACCGGCCCCAGGAGGUGACUGACAAGUUGGGCCAAGUGCACUGAAAGCCCUGUCUCGGCUGGCCCAUAACUCCUGAGCUACACAGACCCCUAAGGACCCCGUGAGCCAGCAGAGAGCCAUAAAUCCAGCAAGCUGGAGGCUGGGAGCUCACUGAUUGCACUGGGGAAAAGCAGCCUGAUCUGAUUGCUAUGUGAGCUGGAGAGAGAAAAGGUGGUAACUGGAGUGCUGGAAAUACAACGACUUUGGAACAAAAUGAAGCAACAGAGGAAUGGCAGGAGGGACUGUGGUUUUCUCAUCUGUACAACAAAGGGGCUGGAUUGGACUGCCUCUGAAGCCCUUUCAUCACAGAAAUUCUGUGUUUCUCUUUGUAACUAAGGUCAAACAGAUGUGGGAGGGUGUCAGGAUGGGAAAGCAAGAUCGGGGGACCCAGAGAAGCCAGAAGAGGCAACGAGGAGGCCAACAUAUUUACUGCCCAAUUACUAUCACAUUUUUUGGUGUGUGUGUGAGACAGGGUCUCACUCUGUCUCCCAGACUGGAGUGAAGUGGUGUGAUCUCGGCUCACUGCAAACUCCGCCUCCCAGGUUCAAGCGAUGCUCAUACCUCAGCCUCCUGAGUAGCUGGGAUUACAGGCACAUGCCACCACACCUGGCUAUUUUUUUAUUUUUAGUAGAGAUGGGGUUUCACCAUGUUGGCCAGGCCGGUCUCGAACUCCUGGCCUUAAGCCACUCACCUGCUCAGCCUCCCAAAGUGCUGGGAUUACAGGUGUGAGCCACUGCACCCGGCCAACUAUCACAUUUAAUUCUCAGAAUAACAAGUGAGAUAGAUAUAGUUAUCGCUAUUUUACAGAGAACACUGAAGUACAGAGGCUACAUUAAUAUCUCAAGGUCACAAGGCUCCGUGCUCAGGCUGGGAUUCCAACCCAGGCAGUCUGACCCAGAGCCUGCACGCUUGGUCAUGAAGCCCUCUCGCCUGAGUAUGCAAUGUGACCAGGAAAACCCUGGAGGAAACAUGUACACAACUUGUGUUUCCUUACUUUUAAGGGUAAGAGUGGAAAACAGAUAGUCCCCAUGGAGUAGAUUGUCCAAAAUACACAUCUGUCUUCUGGGAAAGAGGAGUGUGUGUGUGUGUGUGUGUGUGUGUGUGUGUGUCCAUAGGGGAUGUAACAGACAGAACCAAGAAGCAUGUAGGUGAAAAUAUUUAAUAGGGAUGAAUGUAAAUUCCUGUACCUGGGCACAGAAUCCCCAUUAUAUAAAAAUAGAAUAGAGAGUUAGGAUCAGAAAGCAUCAAUUUAGGGGCUUCACCUGACAGUAAGCUCAGGUUGAACACCAGUGUGGUGAGGCUUCCAGAAAAGCCCACCACAGGGCUGCAUCAACAGAAGGGAAGUGUCCCACACCAGGACAGAACCCUUAGACCAUUCGCGCUAGGUUGAGUUCCAGGCCCCUUGCUAUAAGAGGGACAGAGCCAGGCCGGAGAGGAUAAAGAGGAGAGCAACAGGGAUAGUGAUGGACAUCUGAGGAAGAGGUAAAACACCAGUUGAAAGAACCAGGCCAGACAUGGUGGCUCAUGCCUGUAAUCCCAGCACUCUGGGAGGCCAAGGCAGGUGGAUCACCUGAGGUCAGGAGUUUGAGACCAGCCUGGCUAACAUGGUGAAAUCCCGUCUCUACUGAAAAUACAAAAAUUAGUCAGGUGCAGUGGUGGGCACCUGUAAUCCCAGCUACUUGGAAGGCUGAGGCAGGAGAAUUGCUUGAACCCAGGAGACAGAGGUUGCAGUGAGCCAAGAUUGUGCCACUGCACUCCAGCGUGGGCAACGGAGAGACUCUGUCAUAAAAAAAAAGAAAAGAAAAAGAAAGAACCAGGUGACAUUGUGCAAGUUACACCAUACAUCACAACGUCAGUUUUCCUAUCUGCAAAAGGGGUUUAUUAGUAGGGACGGCAUAGAGAUUAAAUGAGGUAAUGCAUGUAAAGUGCUUAGCUGGGGGCUGGACAUAAUAAACGUUAGCUGCACCAGCCGUUAUUAAACCCUGAGCAUGCUCACCUCAGACAAGGGGUGCAUCAGGGACCUGGCUGGAGGAUCAAGCACAGGGAUCUCCAUGGCAUGGGUCCAGAGUCACAGCUCUGCAUGUAGCUUAGUGAAGCCAAAGGCCCCACAAGUUGUUCCUCAUCCUCUGACAUAAGUUCUAUUAAACCUCAGCAGCUCAUUCUUCUUGGUGGUAGUGAGUUCUCUUAGUGAUCAAAGCACAAAGGUGUCUGGCUAGCACUGUUCCCUCCUUUUGGGCAGGCUAGUUGGGUGGGCAGGGAGUGCAGGGGCCAUGGGACCAGCAGGGCCCCCAGUGACUGCCAAGGUCCAAGGCACCUCCUGCUGGCUCAUUCAGCCCCCUCCUGUUCUGGUCCUUCCCCUUCCCCAGCCCACAGCCCCAUCUUGUCCUCCUCCACCCUCCUUGCUCUCUUGCUGGGAGCAGGGACAGCAAUGCUAGUCUCCCCUUUGACGCUUUUCCUGAACAUUGGCUGAGCAUCAGUUUCCUACACUGGCAGAAGCGAGACACACAGUAGGCUUUCAAGGACAGAGAGGAGGAGGACUGAAUGCUUAGAAGACAGCAAAGUACAUCACAGGCUGUUGGGUUGGAAAGCACCUGCAGGAUCACCUAGUUUAAUCCUUAGACUUGGUGGUUUUCUAACUGUACUGAGCAUAGAAUUAUUUGCGGUAGAUUGUUUAAAUGCAGAUUCCCGGGCCCUACGUACUGAAAUACAGUCUCUUGGGUGGAUUCCCAGGAAUUUCAUUUGUAACCAGCUCCAGCAGGUGAUAGCCCAUGCAGGUGGUCUGGGUGGACAUUUUGAGGAACACUGCCCUUAUUCCUGACUCCUCUCCAUAUUUCUACUACAUUCCUGCCACAUAGCCAUGAGAAAACUCACAGAAAAGAGUUCACAGAACGCCUCUGCUCUCAACUCAUUCACAGUCUAGCUGGAGACAGAGGACAGCCACAGGAGCAGUUAGUGCUCAGGUCUUGACCGAGGGCCUGCCAUGGGAGUUCAGAGGCAGGCUGGCCCAACUCAAGGCUCCGGGAGGAGACAAGGUUUGAGCAGGGCCAGGACAACCGGAUAUGGUUUUCUUCCCUAGUCAGCUAAGAUCUGUUCUUAGUGGAGGUGCUCAAUUAGCCAAGCUCAUGAAUUCUGCAUGUCUGACUGACUUUCAUCCACCUCCCUCUCCUCCCUUCAGAUGGAGCCCUCUGCUCUCUGGGAUGUAAUUACGAUAUCUGGCCUGUUUUAAUGAAGGCAAAAAUAUUCAGUAUUUGUAUGCGACUUCUCCCAUGUUGGAGAGGGUGGGAGGGGGCAGGGCAGGGAGGCGGAGCCUUGGGAGAAUGAGAGACUAAUAACCGCACCUUUGCACUACCAUCUAGCAUCUCAGUUCACAAAGUCCAUUCGCAAGUAUUUUCUCAUGGAAUCUAUGGCCCUACCACGGUGGCCAAGUGUUUUAGAACCAUUUGUGCCAGCAAGGUGUGUCUGCAUGGUGUUUUAAAUGAUGUUGACAUUAUGUCAGCUCAAGUAAAUCAAUAUUUCCAUGUCAACCAACUCAUUUAGCUGAGAGUUCACAUACCAGGAUAUCAGUUAACUUACAUCAAAAAUGUUUCAUUAGGAAGUCAGUUUUUAUUUCUCUUAUUGUUCAUGGUGAUGUUCACUGACCUAUUCCUAGCAUGUUACACUAACCUUGAACUGUUGAUUGGAAUAAGCACAAUUGUUUUACAAACCACUAGAAAAAUAAAGAGUUUUAUUAGUUACUAUACAACCAUUGGUUGUAAACUAUGUGCCAAUUUCAAAGAUACUAAAAUUUGAAAAAUAAUGCAUGUUUAAAUCUGUAAAAUGGGCCAGGCACACUGGCUCAUGCCUGUAAUCCCAGCACUUUGGGAGGCCGAGGCAAGCAGAUCACUUCAGGUCAGGAGUUCAAGACCAGAAUGGCCAACAUGGAGAAUCCCCGCCUCUGCUAAAAAUACAAAAAUUAGCCAGGUGUGGUAGCAGUGCCUGUAAUCCCAGCUACUCGGGAGGCUGAGGCAGGAGAAUCACUUGAACCUGGGAGGUGGAGGUUGCAGUAAGCCAAGAUCACACCACUGUACUCCAGGCUGGGCGACAGAGCAAGACUCUAUCUAAAAAAGAAUAAAUAAAUAAAAAUAAAUAAAUAAAUCAGGAAAAUGGUCUAGGUGACAAUGGACACAACAAUAAACAUUAGUCCACCUGACUUUGGCACAUGAAUUUUUUUUUUUUGAGACGGAGUCUCUGUCGCCCAGGCUGGAGUGCAGUGGCGCGAUCUCGGC